AGUUUCUUGUGAAAUUCUAUGUCUCAAACGUGGAGCGUGCAAGAAGUACCGUCAAGCUAGAGACCGGUAGACGUAAGAAGUACGUUCAGAGUAGCGGUAAAAUGUGUUAAUCCUGGACGGACUAACGAUAGCGAAGGCAUCUUACGAGGACGGUUCUGACAGUAAGGGAUGAAGGCUAGGGGCGCAAAACGGAUUAGAUACCCGUGUAGUCCUAGCAGUAAACACUGCACACUAAACAUUAGUACCUCCUCGAGAGGUAUUAGUGCUGAAGGGAAGCCGAAGAGUGUGCUACCUGGGAAGUAUAGUCGCAAGGCCGAAACUUAAAGGAAUUGGCGGGGAGACACUACAACGGGUGACGCGUGCGGUUCAAUUAGAUUCUACACCGUGAACCUCACCAGGAGCGACAGCAGGAUGAAGGUCAGUCUGAAGGGCUUACCUGACACGCUGAGAGGAGUUGCAUGGCCGACGUCAGCCUGUGCCGUGAGGUGACCUGUUAAAUCAGGUAACAGGCAAGACCCACAUCUCUAUUUACUACGUGUACCAUAGAGAGAUUGCCUCGGUAACGAGGAUGAAAGUGUGGGCUACGUUAGGUGAGUACAGCCCGAAUCCCCUGGGCAACACGCGCGCGUCAACGGUGGAUACAACGGGAUGCGACUCCGAAAGGAGAAGCUAAUCUCUUAAAGUCCAUCUCAGUUUAGAUCGAGGUUUGUAACUCAGCCUCGUGAC
rnacentral:rRNA from 1 species